AGAGUUUGAUCCUGGCUCAGGACGAACGCUGGCGGCGUGCUUAACACAUGCAAGUCGAACGGUGACCUUGGAGCUUGCUCCAAGUGAUCAGUGGCGAACGGGUGAGUAACACGUGAGUAACCUGCCCCAGACUCUGGAAUAACCCCGGGAAACCGGAGCUAAUACCGGAUACGAGACGGAGUCGCAUGGCUACCGUCUGGAAAGUUUUUCGGUCUGGGAUGGACUCGCGGCCUAUCAGCUUGUUGGUGAGGUAACGGCUCACCAAGGCGACGACGGGUAGCCGGCCUGAGAGGGCGACCGGCCACACUGGGACUGAGACACGGCCCAGACUCCUACGGGAGGCAGCAGUGGGGAAUAUUGCACAAUGGGCGAAAGCCUGAUGCAGCGACGCCGCGUGAGGGAUGAAGGCCUUCGGGUUGUAAACCUCUUUCAGCAGGGAAGAAGCGAAAGUGACGGUACCUGCAGAAGAAGCACCGGCUAACUACGUGCCAGCAGCCGCGGUAAUACGUAGGGUGCGAGCGUUGUCCGGAAUUAUUGGGCGUAAAGAGCUUGUAGGCGGUUUGUCACGUCUGCUGUGAAAAUCCGAGGCUCAACCUCGGACUUGCAGUGGGUACGGGCAGACUAGAGUGUGGUAGGGGAGACUGGAAUUCCUGGUGUAGCGGUGGAAUGCGCAGAUAUCAGGAGGAACACCGAUGGCGAAGGCAGGUCUCUGGGCCACUACUGACGCUGAGAAGCGAAAGCAUGGGGAGCGAACAGGAUUAGAUACCCUGGUAGUCCAUGCCGUAAACGCUGGGCGCUAGGUGUGGGACUCAUUCCACGAGUUCCGUGCCGCAGCUAACGCAUUAAGCGCCCCGCCUGGGGAGUACGGCCGCAAGGCUAAAACUCAAAGGAAUUGACGGGGGCCCGCACAAGCGGCGGAGCAUGUGGAUUAAUUCGAUGCAACGCGAAGAACCUUACCAAGGCUUGACAUAUACCGGAAACAUCCAGAGAUGGGUGCCCCGCAAGGUCGGUAUACAGGUGGUGCAUGGUUGUCGUCAGCUCGUGUCGUGAGAUGUUGGGUUAAGUCCCGCAACGAGCGCAACCCUCGUUCUAUGUUGCCAGCGCGUCAUGGCGGGGACUCACAGGAGACUGCCGGGGUCAACUCGGAGGAAGGUGGGGAUGACGUCAAAUCAUCAUGCCCCUUAUGUCUUGGGCUUCACACAUGCUACAAUGGCCGGUACAAAGGGCUGCGAAAUCGCGAGAUGGAGCGAAUCCCAAAAAAACCGGUCUCAGAUCGGAUUGGGGUCUGCAACUCGACCCCAUGAAGUCGGAG
rnacentral:rRNA from 1 species